rnacentral:lncRNA from 14 species
AUGGAUCCUCCCAUGCCGGAGCUGUGCCGGUCCCUGCGGAUGUCCCGGAAUUCCUGGAAUUCCCUAAGUUCCAGUGGGAUGUCGCUGCAGCUCCUGCUCCUUGAGCAGCGUGAUCUGCAGGAGGGAGGGAGGGAGGGGAGACUGUGGGGCCAGGCCGUGUCCCCUGGGGCUGUGUCCCCCGGGCCGUGUCCCCGUGUCCCUGCGGGCUGUGUCCCCCGGGCCGUGUCCCCCAGGCUGUCCCUGUGUCCCCCACGCUGUGUCCCCGUGUUCCCCGGGGGUGUCUCCGUGUCCCCGGGCCCUGUUCCUCAGGCUCUCCCCGUGUCCCCGGGCUGUCCCUGUGUCCCCUCACCUGCUCCUCCAGGCCGCCGCGGCCGAGCCGGAGCCGCUCCAGCUCCCUCUGCAGCUCCGCGGGCGCCUCGGGGAGCGGCCGGGCCCGGAGCUCCAGCGCCGACACCUGAGCCUGCGGAGAGGGGUGCCCGGCACCCCGGGAUGGGCACGGCCUGCAUGGGCACCCCAGAACGGCCAGCACCAACACCAGCACCAGCACCAGCACCAACACCAACACCUCCCUGGUGCUGGCACCAACACCAGCACCAGCACCAGCACCAGCACCAACACCAACACCAACACCAACACCAGCACCAACACCAACACCAACACCAGCACCAACACCAACACCAACACCAACACCAACACCAACACCAACACCAACACCUCCCUGGUGCUGGCACCAACACCAGCACCAGCACCAGCACCAACACCAACACCUCCCUGGUGCUGGCACCAACACCAGCACCAACACCAGCACCAACACCAGCACCAACACCAGCACCAACACCAGCACCAGCACCAGCACCAACACCAGCACCAACACCAACACCAGCACCAACACCAGCACCAACACCAACACCAGCACCAACACCAACACCAACACCAACAUCAGCACCAACACCAACACCAGCACCAACACCAGCACCAACACCUCCGUGGUGUGGCCAGUGCCAACACCUCCCUGCCCCUGGAACCAGCCCAGCCCCUUCCCAGUACCAGGACCAUUCCCAUUGGGAUGAGCCCGGCCCCAUCCCAGCACCAGCACCAGGCUCGUUCCCAUCAGGAUGA